rfam:Bombyx mori DNA, contig: Bm_scaf96_contig35298, strain: p50T/Dazao, build 2, whole genome shotgun sequence.
UUAGCUUCAUAUUUGUAUGGAAUGGGAUCGUUUGCCUACGUUUGCCGCUAGGGGCGCUGUUCCAACUGCAUACAAAAUUAGGUUA